UUUUUAUGAGUAUUUCAAUCUCGGGUUUUGUAUUGUCCAAAACCCGAUAUUGAAAUACUUAUAAAAA
rnacentral:pre_miRNA from 1 species